AACGAACGCUGGCGGCAUGCCUAACACAUGCAAGUCGAACGAGACCUUCGGGUUUAGUGGCGCACGGGUGCGUAACGCGUGGGAACCUGCCCUUAGGUUCGGAAUAACUCCCCGAAAGGGGUGCUAAUACCGGAUAAUGUCUUCGGACCAAAGAUUUAUCGCCUUUGGAUGGGCCCGCGUUGGAUUAGCUAGUUGGUAGGGUAAAAGCCUACCAAGGCGACGAUCCAUAGCUGGUCUGAGAGGAUGAUCAGCCACACUGGGAGUGAGACACGGCCCAGACUCCUGCGGGAGGCAGCAGUGGGGAAUAUAGGACAAUGGGCGAAAGCCUGAUGCAGCAAUGCCGCGUGAGUGAUGAAGGCCUUAGGGUUGUAAAGCUCUUUUACCCGGGAUGAUAAUGACGGUACCGGGAGAAUAAGCACCGGCUAACUCCGUG
rnacentral:rRNA from 1 species